AACGAACGCUGGCGGCAUGCCUAACACAUGCAAGUCGAACGAGAUCUUCGGAUCUAGUGGCGCACGGCUGCGUAACGCGUGGGAAUCUGCCCCUUGCUUCGGAAUAACAGUGAGAAAUUACUGCUAAUACCGGAUGAUGUCUUCGGACCAAAGAUUUAUCGGCAAGGGAUGAGCCCGCGUAGGAUUAGGUAGUUGGUGGGGUAAUGGCCUACCAAGCCGACGAUCCUUAGCUGGUCUGAGAGGAUGAUCAGCCACACUGGGACUGAGACACGGCCCAGACUCCUACGGGAGGCAGCAGUGGGGAAUAUUGGACAAUGGGCGAAAGCCUGAUCCAGCAAUGCCGCGUGAGUGAUGAAGGCCUUAGGGUUGUAAAGCUCUUUUACCAGGGAUGAUAAUGACAGUACCUGGAGAAUAAGCUCCGGCUAACUCCGUG
rnacentral:rRNA from 1 species